AUUGAACGCUGGCGGCAUGCCUUACACAUGCAAGUCGAACGGCAGCAUGGAGAGCUUGCUCUCUGAUGGCGAAUGGCGAACGGGUGAGUAAUGCAUCGGAACGUACCGUGUAGUGGGGGAUAACGUAGCGAAAGUUACGCUAAUACCGCAUACGACCUGAGGGUGAAAGCAGGGGAUCGCAAGACCUUGCGUUAUACGAGCGGCCGAUGUCAGAUUAGCUAGUUGGUGAGGUAAAGGCUCACCAAGGCGACGAUCUGUAGCGGGUCUGAGAGGAUGAUCCGCCACACUGGGACUGAGACACGGCCCAGACUCCUACGGGAGGCAGCAGUGGGGAAUUUUGGACAAUGGGGGCAACCCUGAUCCAGCCAUGCCGCGUGAGUGAAGAAGGCCUUCGGGUUGUAAAGCUCUUUCGGCCGGGAAGAAAUCGCACAGGCUAAUACUCUGUGUGGAUGACGGUACCGGCAUAAGAAGCACCGGCUAACUACGUGCCAGCAGCCGCGGUAA
rnacentral:rRNA from 1 species